GUUUUUCUUAUCUUCAGAAUGUGGAUGCCCUUCUUCGGUGUCCUAUUUGUUUUGACUUUCUCAACAUUUCAAUGAUGACGAAAUGCUCUCACAACUUUUGCUCCUUAUGCAUCAGAAAGUUUCUUUGCUUUAAGAUGCAGUGUCCUGUUUGCAAUGCACAAGCAACAGAGCAAGAUCUAAGAACCAACCGUUUAUUGGACGAGCUGGUUGUUAACUUCCAGGCUGCAAGGUAACCAUACAAC